UAGUCCACACCGUAAACGAUGUCAACUAGCCGUUGGGAGCAUUUAAGCUCUGAGUGGCGCAGCUAACGCGAUAAGUUGACCGCCUGGGGAGUACGCCGGCAACGGUAAAACUCAAAGGAAUUGACGGGGGCCCGCACAAGCGGUGGAGCAUGUGGUUUAAUUCGAUGCAACGCGAAAAACCUUACCUACCCUUGACAUCAUUGGAACUUGUUAGAGAUAACUUGGUGCCUUCGGGAACUCUGAGACAGGUGCUGCAUGGCUGUCGUCAGCUCGUGUUGUGAAAUGUUGGGUUAAGUCCCGCAACGAGCGCAACCCUUAUCCUUGUUUGCCAGCGAGUCAUGUCGGGAACUCCAGGGAGACUGCCGGUGAUAAACCGGGAGGAA
rnacentral:rRNA from 1 species